UACGAAGGGUGCAAGCGUUACUCGGAAUUACUGGGCGUAAAGCGUGCGUAGGUGGUUUGUUAAGUCUGAUGUGAAAGCCCCGGGCUUAACCUGGGAAUGGCAUUUGGGACUGCAAGGCUUGAGUGCGGCAGAGGAGACUGGAAUUCCUGGUGUAGCAGUGAAAUGCGUAGAUAUCAGGAGGAAUACCGAUGGCGAAGGCAGGUCUCUGGGCUGACACCGACGCUCAUGCACGAAAGCGUGGGGAGCAAACAGG
rnacentral:rRNA from 1 species